ensembl:lncRNA
CAAUUAGGUUCUUCAGCUAAUUAUUGGAUCUUAUAAAUGAUUCUUCAAAAAACAGCUACAAUGAUUAGGUUGUGCCUUUAUACGGAGCUCUGAGAAAGGAUUUCCAUGCAGCAAGAGGAGAAUCGCCAUGUGGAUUGCAAUUUCUUCUCUUCGGUGAGGGGAAGGGUCUGCAGCUCAUCUGUAUCAGUUCAACUUUACCACCAAGCCAGCUGGACAUAGGACACUUGUUCAUCUGUCCACAAGCAUAUCAGGAACUGGGGGCUCAUUUCUGGCAGCAGGUCAGAGGUAACAGGGUUCUCCUGCUGCGUGAGAAACUGUGUGGAUGAAUACAAGUGACACUAAGGGCAGGCAUCGUUCUCAUAAUGCGUGUCUUACAAGUGUUGGAGGUAGUCACUAUAACAACAGCGCCUCAAAUUUGUGUCCACUUGAACUGCUCCGUCUCUGUAAUCGCCGAGCAAGAAUGAGCAGGGAAAGGAGAGAUUUUGUGUCACGAUAUGGACCUAGAGAUUCCUCAGCUGGUAAAAAAAAAAAAAAAAAAUGUGGUCCGUAUUUCUUCUCAGCAAAAACUUGGCUCUCCCCCAACUUCAGCAAUCACAGAGACUAAUAUCCAAAGAAGUGCCGAGUUUAUGCAAGCAAAACUGACCCAGCUGAUGCCAAGAGGAGCUGGAGAGCAGCAGCCCGUGCCCCACGCCUGCUCCGCGGAGCCCCGCGGGGAUGGGGCUGCGGUGCCCGGCUCCUGUCUGACUCGUUCUGCUCCCCUCCUGCUCCCUGCCUGCACAGCCGCAAGUGAAAACCAGGGUGUCCGGACAUGUAAAACCCAUAGAAAUGAGAAGGAUGGAACAGCUUGCUGUCUGCUGGAGAAAGAGGCGAACCCAGAGGCUGCUGUGGUAACAUGA